UCUUUCUUCUGGCUUACAAAGGCCCGCCUGGGGCUCGCGAAAGCGCUAACCGUCAACCGCAAGCAAGCCUAUCCCGCGUCAAAGCCGCAUGUAUUGACGAGUGUUGCGGAACUAAUGCGUACGCAGACCAGAGCGGAAGGCGGAGUGGGCUUGCAAGCGGCACGAGAGUAGGCAGUCAGUAGCGCAAGUUGCGAGUUCAUAUGUUACCUGGUAACCGACGGUAAACGCUGUGGACGGUCGCGCCCAUGGCUGGCUGACGGAAGGCGGCUGCUGUACUAGGAUGGCUGGGCUGGACGACGGCGGCCGCAUCACCGCUUGCACGCCGGGCUGCACGUGCACUGCUGCUCGAUGAUGCCCUUGGCGCGCUGCCCGAAGCACACGCUGCGGUUGAGUUGUUGCGCUUCGCCUCGAGGAUCAGGUGCUCGGGGUUGCAGCACCGUGGGUGGUGGCAGAGGUGCGACGCCUCGGGCUUCUCGGUCUGGGAAGGGAGGGGCCGCGUCCACUCCUAGUACAAGCAAAAGCAGAGGGUCCGUCUCCUGGGUUGCAAUUCGCGAACUGCAGGUCAUGGCAGCAAGGCUAUGAUGGCUGUAGGCCCUCACGGCAAUGGUGACAUUAUGUAAUUCAUGUCUGUGUAGCAAUGCGGGCCCAGCAGGAUGGCCCCGUUCAGGCUUGGGGGGCUGCGCGCCAUUAAAUGGGGAACCCUGCCACGCGUGCGGCAAGCAAACGGUGGCAAGCUCCGACAUUCGACGCAGAGUGCCAUUGGCUUGCAUGGCGUGCACACGUCGUACACGCGGUCUCAUGUGCUUGUGCCUCAUGGUACAGCGUGGCCGUGCUCCUGGGGUAGGUCUAGGUCCUGGACAUGCCCACCUUUGCCCGCCGCUGUCCUCCGCCAGCGGCCAGCCCCCCUCGUUGUGUGCAGAGAGCUUGGCGACUCAGGAAAUGCGGCACAGCCCUCAUACACCCGGCCACCUUUUCUUGCUCUCGGCUAGAAUUAGAAUGCAAGCAUUCGAGGCGAAGUGUGAGGGUGGUGGGCGCCAGGGUGCGCCUGGACCCCGGAAACACGCUGCCGCGCCGUGCUUUGAUGAAACCACGAGGAUGGCAUGUGACCUUUAUUACGUUGCGCCCCUACCUGCCGCGGGCGCUCGCCAACCGAGCGCUUGGAACCGAGUCGCUCUCCAAAAUGUGGCUGCAGCUAUCGUGUUGCGGCAUACACGCCAGCUUGCGUUGCACGUACUCUUUGCAUUGCAAAAACACAGUGCGGGGCAAUGUUUCCGCACGGG
rnacentral:lncRNA from 1 species